AGAGUUUGAUCCUGGCUCAGGAUGAACGCUAGCUACAGGCUUGACACAUGCAAGUCGAGGGGGAAACGACAUCGAAAGCUUGCUUUUGUAUGGGCGUCGACCGGCGCACGGGUGAGUAACGCGUAUCCAACCUGCCCACCACUUGGGGAUAACCUUGCGAAAGUAAGACUAAUACCCAAUGAUAUCUCUAGAAGACAUCUGAAAGAAGAUUAAAGAUUUAUCGGUGAUGGAUGGGGAUGCGUCUGAUUAGCUUGGUUGGGCGGGGUAACGGGCCACCAAGGCUACGAUCAGUAGGGGUUCUGAGAGGAAGGUCCCCCACAUUGGAACUGAGACACGGUCCAAACUCCUACGGGAGGCA
rnacentral:rRNA from 1 species